rnacentral:rRNA from 1 species
AUUGAACGCUGGCGGAAUGCUUUACACAUGCAAGUCGAGCGGCAGCGCGGGGGCAACCCUGGCGGCGAGCGGCGAACGGGUGAGUAACAUAUCGGAACGUACCCCGUUGUGGGGGAUAACACAGCGAAAGCUGUGCUAAUACCGCAUACGACCUGAGGGUGAAAGCGGGGGAUCGCAAGACCUCGCGCGAUGGGAGCGGCCGAUAUCGGAUUAGCUUGUUGGUGAGGUAAAGGCUCACCAAGGCGACGAUCCGUAGCUGGUCUGAGAGGACGACCAGCCACACUGGAACUGAGACACGGUCCAGACUCCUACGGGAGGCAGCAGUGGGGAAUUUUGGACAAUGGGGGGCAACCCUGAUCCAGCCAUUCCGCGUGAGUGAAGAAGGCCUCGGGUUGUAAAGGACUCUUCUAGCAGGAACGAAACGGUAGG